AUUCACAGUUUUGAAGAACACCUUCUUCAAAUGUUUCCGCACGUCAGUGAGUAGCAGCGCCGCAAUCCUUUGUCGACGACGCGUUCUGUGGCCCUGGAAAAUGCCUUUACGCUCGGGGACGGCCGGUAGCUCGGCGAUUCCUCGCUUGGCGCACCAUUGAAAACCGGCGGUCAUCCAGCAGUGUACGCUGCCAGCGUAUUUUUUAUUGCCAGAGGUAGCAAACAGCAGUGCCACAACAAACAGUGGAGUGCUGACCAUGCAGUCCAGAAGGUGGCUGAGGCAAGUAUGCUAUAGGAGGUGCUUAUUCAGGCAGAAGAAAUAAGCAUCUGUAGCCAACGUAAAGGAAGCAUCUUCAAAAGGCAGUGCUACAAGGAUGUGAGCAGCAGUUUCCCUUCAACGAAUGGGUCAAACUCAUGGAAGCCACGUGCCUGCUGCUUCUGGCCUACACAAACAUGCAGCCACCAUAGUAAAGUUCUUGCAAAGACAUUCUACACGAACUUGCCCAAAGGCGGAAGGAAGGCACGCACAGAUGGACACACAGAAAUCAUGGGGCUGCCGUAGAAGCUGUGAAUGAGCAUUAACCUGUGAACGUACAGAAAGGAGCGAAGUGGAGCUGUCCAUGGGCCGUGCACACAGUUUCAUAAGCGGGCUUGCAACACUUUUGACAAAUAUGUUCCUGAAUACAUCUGCCAAAGUGGCAUUUAAAGAAGCAUGUAGUAGUGUACUUCACUGUUUAUUUGGCAUGAAGCAGCAGGUAUGCUUCCGUCAUCAGCAAGUUCACACAAUACAGUGCAUCUACACAUGGCAUGCUACCCCCACAUCUACCAGCUCAGGAUGUGUAGCUUGAUUGUAAAAUGUUUACUUUGACUUAACACAACAAUUAUUAACAAAAUGACAUGAAAGUUUUGCCACCUAUGCAGGCGACAUUCUCAGUAUACGCUGCCAAAUAUAAGCGGAGUUUGACCAGUCCAUUAGUCGCACAUUUCCUUGUAAACAUCUCGUAGAGGGCCGCUGUUGUUGUUGCAAGCCAAUGCGCCGUGAUGAAUGAACCAUGA